rnacentral:rRNA from 1 species
AACGAACGCUGGCGGCAGGCCUAACACAUGCAAGUCGAGCGAGGACUUCGGUCCUAGCGGCGGACGGGUGAGUAACGCGUGGGAACGUGCCCUUUGCUGCGGAAUAGCCCCGGGAAACUGGGAGUAAUACCGUAUGUGCCCUUCGGGGGAAAGAUUUAUCGGCAAAGGAUCGGCCCGCGUUGAAUUAGGUAGUUGGUGGGGUAAUGGCCUACCAAGCCGACGAUCCAUAGCUGGUUUGAGAGGAUGAUCAGCCACACUGGGACUGAGACACGGCCCAGACUCCUACGGGAGGCAGCAGUGGGGAAUCUUAGACAAUGGGGGAAACCCUGAUCUAGCCAUGCCGCGUGAGCGAUGAGGGCCUUAGGGUUGUAAAGCUCUUUCAGUGGGGAAGAUAAUGACGGUACCCACAGAAGAAGCCCCGGCUAACUCCGUGCCAGCCGCCGCGGUAACAC